CACUAUACGGGGAGUUAGCGGUGCCCUGAACCUGCAAUCCGCUAUAGCAGGGUAGAAUUCCCGGCCUCGGGGUUUGGUGAGCGGACGUAAGUCUUGGCAAGUGGUGUUGACUACACGGUCUCAGGCAAUGGAGAGCCAUGAACCAUGUCAGGUCCGGAAGGAAGCAGCAUUAAGUGGUCCACCUUCAUGUGUACUGAGGCAGCCGUGUACGAGCAAACUACCUGGA
rnacentral:SRP_RNA from 1 species